rnacentral:rRNA from 1 species
GACGAACGCUGGCGGCGUGCCUAAUACAUGCAAGUAGAACGCUGAAGGAGGAGCUUGCUUCUCUGGAUGAGUUGCGAACGGGUGAGUAACGCGUAGGUAACCUGCCUGGUAGCGGGGGAUAACUAUUGGAAACGAUAGCUAAUACCACAUAAGAGUAGAUGUUGCAUGACAUUUGCUUAAAAGGUGCAAUUGCAUCACUACCAGAUGGACCUGCGUUGUAUUAGCUAGUUGGUGGGGUAACGGCUUACCAAGGCGACGAUACAUAGCCGACCUGAGAGGGUGAUCGGCCACACUGGGACUGAGACACGGCCCAGACUCCUACGGGAGGCAGCAGUAGGGAAUCUUCGGCAAUGGACGGAAGUCUGACCGAGCAACGCCGCGUGAGUGAAGAAGGUUUUCGGAUCGUAAAGCUCUGUUGUAAGAGAAGAACGAGUGUGAGAGUGGAAAGUUCACACUGUGACGGUAUCUUACCAGAAAGGGACGGCUAACUACGUG